GCAUAAGCCUAGUUUAUGAAGAGGAGCUUUCCUCGCUUCCCUCAACGUGAAACCGCGCAAGCCCUUCGUUGUUUCCACGCUCCACUUGAUCCGUGAACGGGUUUAGCCAUGAUUUUACCCAGGCUGUUGGAACAAGAAAGCCUGUUUUCCUCUCUCUGCUGUUCAAGGUCUUUUAGCCAGAACGCACGCACUGUGUGAGCCUCACUUCAGAUACUCCAAGGAUUAAUUGAAGAACAUGAUGGAAGGAAGGGGAGAGCGUGAGUAAAAUAGCUGGUUUAUAUUUGUAUCCUCAAAUGUCAGUUCAUUACCAAGUUAGAAGCCAGCUGAUGCAGAGAACUCAUUAUGGCUUCAUUUAGAAUGCUUAUUUCUUGAGAGACGAAAAAUAAUUCUUACUUGUCCAACACAGAUAUGCUACGUUCUACAGCACACUUUGGGAUGUGAAGUAAAGAGGGUUUUCUUUA